GAGACCUCAGGUCAGGCGGGGCUACCCGCUGAGUUUAAGCAUAUCAAUAAGC
rnacentral:rRNA from 2 species